CGCUCUUCUCCCGCGACCCGACCCUUUUCACGGCGCAGAAAUAUAUCCCCGUCCCCUUCCCUCCCCUUGGCUUCCAUUUCCACCGCCACAGCAGCAGGUAUCUAUCUCCCUCCGCGAUUCGCCACUUGUCCGGGCGGUUCCAGCUCCCGAUCGCGCGAAUCGAGUCCGUUCUUGGCCGCAGAAGCCGUCGGGUGGUUCGUUUUCGACCGGAAGCGUCUCAAUCGCGGGGUUCUUGGUUUCCGCGGGCCGAGUCCUUGGGCGGGCGGCGGCGGCGGCCAUGGAGCCGGCGGCGGCGGCCGCGGGCAUUGUGAAGGAGGAGCUCCUGGAGCAGCAGCCGCUGCAGGACGGCGGCGGGGACGCGCCGCGCCCGAUGGAGGGGCUGCACGAGGUCGGGCCCCCGCCGUUCCUGACCAAGACGUUCGACCUGGUGGAGGACCCGGCCACCGACGCCGUCGUCUCCUGGAGCCGCGCCGGCAACAGCUUCGUCGUCUGGGACCCGCACGUCUUCGCUGACACGCUGCUCCCGCGCCUCUUCAAGCACAGCAACUUCUCCAGCUUCGUCCGACAGCUCAACACCUAUCUAAAUGGAACAAGAUACUGUCGAUGAAGUACGAGAACCAGAUUGUUUUGUUCUAGAAGACUCUACUGAUCACCUUCAGAUGCUAUAGGCUUUAGAAAGGUUGAUCCUGAUAGAUGGGAGUUUGCAAAUGAAGGUUUUCUCAGGGGUCAAAGGCACCUACUGAAGACAAUAAAGAGAAGGAAGCCACCAUCUGCUGCGCCUCAAUCACAUCAACAGCAGGCUUCCGCUUCUUGCCUGGAGGUUGGUGAGUUUGGAUUUGAGGAAGAGAUUGACAGGCUGAAGCGUGAUAAGAACAUCUUAAUCACAGAAGUAGUAAAGCUAAGGCAGGAGCAACAAAGUACUAAAGAUCAUGUGAGAGCCAUGGAAGAGAGGCUACGUGUGACUGAGCAGAAGCAGGUACAGAUGAUGGGGUUCUUGGCAAGAGCAAUGCGGAAUCCAGAGUUCUUCCAGCAGUUGGUCCAGCAGCAAGAUAAGAGGAAGGAACUUGAGGAUGCCAUCUCAAAGAAAAGAAGGCGACCGAUUGACAACACUCCAUUCUACAGCCCUGAGGAAACAAGUCAGAGUGAACAGCUUGAUUCACAGUUCAUGUUCGAUUCUGAUGUGCUUGAUGGGCUCAGUGAACCUGGAAUGCCUGAGCUGGAGAAUUUGGCAGUGAACAUUCAGGAGCUUGGAAAGGGUAGUACAGAUGGUGCAAAAAUGGAUCAAGCUAAUGGCCAGUCAGAGCUGAAUGAUGACUUCUGGGCAGAGCUACUGAUCGAAGAUUUUGGAGACAAGGCAGGGCAGUCAGAGUUGGAUGGAAGACCUGAAGUUGUGGAGCACCUUGCUCAACAACUGGGGUAUCUGAGUUCUUCUAGCCCAAAGUAGAGUUGUGUUUGUAACGGUUCAUCCGACAAUUGCUGGUGCUUUCCAUACUAUUGCAGAUCAUCUUGAACAACCUGUUAAACGGUGGAGAUUUGUGGCUGUUCUGAGGGGUUCAUGUGGGAGGCUCAGACUGUGUAAACCACUAUGCUGAAGGCUCCGUGCUGUGAGGGAUCCGUGAGGUGUUGGCUAACUUCUCCAUGCUGACUGACAAAGAAGUCCUACAGACACAGACCAGAGAAGACAUACAGCUGUUAUCAGCUCUUAUCCAGAAGCUCUUACAACCAGAAGCUGUUCUACUGUAAAUGCACGUGCCCGUGCCAUGGGUGGACUUUCUUCAGGUUCUGCAUUGGGUUGUAGCCUUAAUUUUGAGUACUUGAGUCACUCUGUGAAUGGUGUAACCUGAAGACAUCCGUAGCUUGUUGUUUAGCUAUUAAGCAUGAUGUUUUGUACACUGUGCGUCAGGUUGCAAAAUAGGACCAGAUCUGAACGAUUUAGCAUAUAUUCUUCCUAUUGCCAUCAUAUUGACAUAUUUUUCUAGACUC